GACGAACGCUGGCGGCGUGCUUAACACAUGCAAGUCGAGCGGUAAGGCCCUUUCGGGGGUACACGAGCGGCGAACGGGUGAGUAACACGUGGGUGACCUGCCCUUAGCUCUGGGAUAAGCCUGGGAAACUGGGUCUAAUACCGGAUAUGACUCCAUAACGCAUGUUGUGGGGUGGAAAGCCUUGUGCGGCUAGGGAUGGGCCCGCGGCCUAUCAGCUUGUUGGUGGGGUGAUGGCCUACCAAGGCGACGACGGGUAGCCGGCCUGAGAGGCGACCGGCCACACUGGGACUGAGACACGGCCCAGACUCCUACGGGAGGCAGCAGUGGGGAACCUUGCGCAAUGGGCGAAAGCCUGACGCAGCGACGCCGCGUGGGGA
rnacentral:rRNA from 1 species